GCCAGGUGUAGUGGCUCACACCUGUAAUCCCAGUGACUUGGGAGGCUGAGGCAAGAGAAUCAUAGGUUCAAAACCAGCCUGGGUCUUGAACCUAUGUCUUAGCAAGAC
rnacentral:sRNA from 1 species